UGGGGAAUAUUGGGGCAAUGGGACGCAAGUCUGACCCAGCAACGCCGCGUGAAGGAAGAAGGCUUUCGGGUUGUAAACUUCUUUUACCAGGGACGGAAGAAAGUGACGGUACCUGGAGAAAAAGACCACGGCUAACUACGUGCCAGCAGCCGCGGUAAUACGUAGGUGGCAAGCGUUGUCCGGAUUUACUGGGUGUAAAGGGCGUGUAGGCGGAGGAUCAAGUCAGAUGUGAAAUCUAGGGGCUUAACCCCUAAACUGCAUUUGAAACUGAUCCCCUUGAGUAUCGGAGAGGCAGGCGGAAUUC
rnacentral:rRNA from 1 species